rnacentral:snRNA from 1 species
GUGCUCACUUCGGCAGCACAUAUACUAAAAUUGGCAUGGUACAGAGAAGAUUACCAUGGCCCCUGCACAAAGAUGACAUGCAAAUUCGUGAAGCAUUCCAUAUAUUU